GGUAUCGUGAUGGGAAAACAGCAAGGAUUAAUGUGCUUUGAGAGUUACCCAUCGCGUGUUGGUAGUGGCGUGUACCACAGUUUGCUUUGCCGAUUGCUAAACGUGAUUGGUAAACGGUUUGCCAGAAUAUACCCUGACCGCCAAGUUAUGCUAGUGGAUUGAAUUCAACUGAAAAUGGACAUACACUCUAAAAAACGCUGGGUUGUUUUUUCAACCCAAAUGCUGGGUUGAGACCGCUAGAUGUUGAAAGCAAGAGACAUAGGAGAGCAUCAUUCUUUUGAGAUUUAUAACUCAAGCUAACUUUGGAGUUAAGGACACAGAAGUCUCCUUGUAUGAGGAGGAGGGGUUUUUCUCAGCUUCUUCAGAAGAGAGGGGAAAGACAGUUUAAGAUGUUGAAAGCCAGAGACAUAGAACUCAAACCAACUUUGGAGUUGUCUGAUUUGGCGAGUCAUCAUUCUUGGUCUUCCGUCUUAAAGGAUAGGUUCACACAAAAAAAUCAUUUACUUGCCCUCAUGUCAUUCCAAACCUAUACGACUUUUGUAUAUCUUUAGAAUACAAAUGAAUAUAUUUUGAAUUUUCUCAAAUUUUUGUUAAUCCAUUGAGAGUCUAUAUAAUCAGUAUUUUCAAGCCUCAUAAAUACAGAGUUAUUGUAGAAGUAAUCCAUUCCGAUAUUUAUAUAUGAAUAAAUCUUAAAUUAUAUGAUAGCAAACACGUAUGUUCAAAAUAAAACAUUUUUUGGUGGACUAACCCUUAGCGGCCCUCCACGUACAUGAACAUUUGUGAGGUAUGUGAAUGUCAUGUCUGAUUUAAUGUUUCAGUAAAGAAGUAGCUUUCUGAAAGCAAUAUAUUUAUUCAAACAAUAUCACAUGCCCUCCUCUUGUGCUGCCAUUAUAGCAUUCUAGAGCGCUGUGGUAGACCGAGACAUUAAACAACCACACAAAGUGUUGAAAUUAUAAAACUGAUUAUUUACCUCUCCUUACUGAUGUGAAUACACCUCUAUCUGAAAAUGGAUAGUAUAAGUAAAUGUUUUCUAUUUUCAAAUGUGUUUCUCUUUUUAGGCCACUGAUGAAGAACAGGCGGUGACUGGGAUGAAUGCUGGUCAAAGAGGAGAAUGUCCUUUCCCCUAAACUGAUGCAACAGUGAUUUUAAAGGAGGACACUGCCCUGGAUGAUGUAGAAGAUGUCACAUGCUGUGCUGAUGGGGCUUCUUCAUGACUACAUCAAUUAUGCUAAAGAGAUCAUGAAAGUUGACAGUGAUGCAUGAUCUGUAUGCAUGGACUAUGAAACAAACUGUAAGUGUAUACUUUGUAAAAACAAUGUUAAAUGCUUGUUCUGUGUUGUUUAGUUAAAGAGUUUACACUCUGUCAUUCAUACACAUGCUCACAUUCUUUCACACACACACAUCUGUUAAAUGUUAUAAUAUCAGUGUUAAUGUUGUGGUUUAUUUGUGUACUGUCAUGCUAGAAUAGUUGGUAAAGAACUUAACUAAUUGUACAUUUAUUGUAUAAUAGUGUGUUCAUAUAUUUUUAUACAACAUAUAAAAUUUAACAAAGUCUAAUUUGAUCUUAAAAGUUAUAUACAACAAAUGUUCAAUGCUUUAUUUAUGGACUUUGUAGCUGUUAAUGCCAUACUUUUCUGCAUUUCUUCUUACAUGCAUGUUACUUUUUGACUUUUCUCUUGUUUUUAAUAAAUACCUUUUGAUAGUUAUUAUUUGUGUGUAAAAGUGAUUUUUAAAAUGAACAAAAUUUGUAGGUUUAAUGCCUAGCUCAAUUUGGG
ensembl:lncRNA